rnacentral:rRNA from 1 species
ACGGAGAGCGUAUGACAGAGGAUUCGUCCAAUGGAUUAUGUUUCUUAGUGGCGGACGGGUGAGUAACGCGUGAGGAACCUGCCUUGGAGUGGGGAAUAACAGGUGGAAACAUCUGCUAAUACCGCAUAAUGCAGUUGGGUCGCAUGGCUCUGACUGCCAAAGAUUUAUCGCUCUGAGAUGGCCUCGCGUCUGAUUAGCUGGUUGGCGGGGUAACGGCCCACCAAGGCGACGAUCAGUAGCCGGACUGAGAGGUUGGCCGGCCACAUUGGGACUGAGACACGGCCCAGACUCCUACGGGAGGCAGCAGUGGGGAAUAUUGGGCAAUGGGCGCAAGCCUGACCCAGCAACGCCGCGUGAAGGAAGAAGGCCCUCGGGUUGUAAACUUCUUUUGUCAGGGACGAACAGAUGACGGUACCUGACGAAUAAGCUCCGGCUAACUACGUGCCAGCAGCCGCGGUAAUACGUAGGGAGCAAGCGUUAUCCGGAUUUACUGGGUGUAAAGGGCGUGUAGGCGGGAAUGUAAGUCAGAUGUGAAAACUAUGGGCUCAACCCAUAGCCUGCAUUUGAAACUGCAUUUCUUGAGUACUGGAGAGGCAGACGGAAUUCCUAGUGUAGCGGUGAAAUGCGUAGAUAUUAG